AUAACUGGUGUUUUGAAAGCACCCACAAGAGGUUCGAUUCCUCUCUAAGUCU
rnacentral:tRNA from 1 species